UGUGUACACGUGUAAAAGUGAAAUGACAUUCAGUGACUGCGUUGGGAAAACAGCUUGAGAUGAUCAUGAAGUAAAAUCCCGCGACAACAUUAACGGAAGUUUUGUAUGUAAGGGGUGAAAUGUAACAGGCCUAGUAAACGUAUUUAUCGAUCUCCGAUUGUUUUCAGGUAACGCUACUAAACAAACACGUGGAAAUACGACGUAAUGUUGUGCACAAAUAACACAUUAUGGUCAUGAAAAGCGAGGAAGAGGGGAAAACGACGCUAUUUGUCAGUCCAGCUACAUGUAUAUGUGCUGCCGAAGCAAGCACGAACAACGAGCUUGGAGGACUGCUAUAUAUCCUGUGGACUUCUGGGUAUGUUUCUGGCAUGUGGCAUGCGAAGACCUUCCCCCGCCGCAGCCCAGAGGACAACACACGCCGACACUAGAAAACGGUCCACCGAAACAUUCACAGACCCUCGGAGGCUAAGAAGAUCUCUAAAACCUGAAAAGCAGAGCUCAAAGCAGCUAUAGAACUGACAGCCGAAGAAACACUCAAGCUAAUGUGAAGGCUAGUGCUUCCCCUUUGUGUGCUCAGUGACAUUCUCAGGCAUAGCGUAGUGUAUGUUCAAUGUUUAAAAUGGGGUUUAGUUGCACCGAAAUGGGUCGUAAUGAUAUAUAUGUCUCAACCAUGUUUCUGAUAACUUACUUUUACAAUCUUUUAUCUGCAUAGCUUAAAAAGAGGGGUAUUACUACCAAAAAAUUACAGUUUACUCAUCAUUUACUCCAGCGUUAACUAGCUUGAGUUUCUUUUUUUGUUGUUGAACACAAAAGGAGAUGUUUUGAAGAAUGCUGGAAAAGGGUAGCCACUGACAUCUAUGGUAGAAUAAAAAUACACACAAAAAGCUACACAGCAAGUAUUUAUUUAAUUGAAAAUAAUACCAGUAAUAUUGUGAAUUGCUAUUAUUACAAGGUUUUUACUAUGUUAUUACUAUGGAAGUCAGUGGAUACUAGUGUUUCCAGUGAUGUUAGUUUGUGUUCAAAAGAAAAAGGAAACUCAAAAACAUUCAAAACUGGAGGAUGUGUGAACAAUCACAGAAUGUAAAUUUUUGGGUGAACUGUCUCUUUAAGUGGUUCAAAUACUGUGUUUGUUUAUUACUUUAUUAUCUGAACACAAAAGAAGAUAUUUAAAAAAAAUGUCCAAAACAUUACAUUCAUAGUAGGGAAGAAAAUACUAUGGCAGUCAAUAAUUACCGGUUUCAAACCUAUUUUCAAUUUUUUUUCAAAUAAAGAUGACAGAAU